UAAAUAACCUGUAGAUUGAUCAGUACUGUAACACAUACAAACGAAAAACACAACGCGUUAUAAGAAAAAAGGGACCGCUUUAUGAAUUUACUUAUCAUGGUUGAAAACAUCUACUCUGGAUCUAUACGCGGAAAACGGGGGAUGUGUUGACCAAGCCUGGGUCAGCUCCAUCAAUCCAGAUCUCCUUCUAACUAAAUGAUGGAUCUGCGGACACGGAGAUAAGCUUUAAGUGUGUGUGGGAUUGCCAUGGGGACAGCUGGGUGUGGGAAGCCAGAGCAAACAUGGCAAAAGCUGGAUGGUGACUCCGACUGACUCGCCGGGAGACAAAAGAGGCUCCCGUCAGAGCUAAUGGGGACACAUGUAACAGGAUUACGGCCCUAGACACUGAUGGGGGGGAAGACCACAUUGGUAGCUACUACACAUCUACACACACCUCCCCCUCGUCUGCCCCGCUGCCGUACCCUGAGAACAUCCCACUCAAUCACAUCCCACUGACACACUCAACCACAGCAGGCCCAUUCACAGACUCCAGGAACACUCCAACCUGAACGGGCCUUUCCCACAGCCAGCUCCACGGAAACCUCCUCUGCCACUUCAGUACGAACCCGAAUCACCAUCGAUUUGACUGCGAGUUUCAGAUUUUAGUUAUAAAUCUUAUAUUAGUGGUGCUGAGACAAGCAUUAUAUAAUUAUUGUUUAUACUUUGGGUUCGGUGCUAUUACUGAUCUCUAUACAGUAUUAGGACUAGAAGUGGUUGCCUGAUGUAUGAUAAAAUGGGUGAUCUACUGUAGAUAUAUCUAGAAAAGGCAUAUCUAGUUCUAGUUUCAAUACAUGGUUGGGUAUGCAGAGUUAUUUUAACUUAUUCAAAGGUUUAUUUUUUAAACCAGUGAUUGGGUUUCCCCAAAUUUUACCCAACCAUGGGUUGAAAGACUUAAUCCCGGCCCUUCGGUCAUUCAGAAACACUACUUUGUUAAUCCAUUAAGAGUCUAAAAAAAAGCUCAUUUACAAGGAAACAUGUCCGACGCACUUAGAGGGUUUUGCAUGAGCUCUUAAUUUAUAGUGUAAAUCUAAAGAAUUUGGAGUUAUCCUUAUUUUAACUAGGCACCUAACAUGCUUAAAACACUCAGCACCCUGGUAACUAUUACUUUGAGAAAACCUCUGCACAGGCAAGCACCACUCACAUUUUCUUUCAAAAUUUCAAAAAUCUAGUUGACGUUUAUGAUCUAGUGGGAGGUACAGACUAGACUCGGAGGCAGUUCUUCCUCUCCUUUCUCUCGCACAGCCAAAUUCCUAUACUCCUUCCAAGACACCCAGUCAAUUAAUAAGACAUCGUCACACCCCUUUGCAGCCCCCUGCACAAGAGGCCACCCAGGAGCUGCAGCCCAGUCUCUAAAGCAGCUUCUCUGGUGGCCCAGUGGAAUGCCGGGCGAGACUGGAGGGAAGGACCUCGGGGCCGAAGUGCAGAAGAAAAGAAAGAGUCCCAUCAUUGCUCACCGGGGCACUCCGGUCAAAAUUUGACCAAGACAAUAGGAGAUAGGUACUGGGCAGAAUUCCUGCUCUUAAACACCUCCCACUUUAGGGCCAAACCCCCUUUUUGGCCAGUUCAGUAAUGUAAUGUCUUUUUGCACCGUGUUACUCAAGCACUCAUAUGUUUUGAAAUCAAUACAUAAGUGACCUAGAUUGUAAUUUAUAGUUUGAAUAUUCUUAUUUUUAUUAAAGCUAUGGUGCUCAAGUGAUAUUCGGUUCUCCCUAAUAUCGGUGUUAAAAAAAUGCUUUUACACUUUAAAAAUGCUGGGUUGUUUUAGCCCAUGGUUGGUAAAAAUAUAUGGAUAGAUAUGGAAUUAACCUUUGGGUUAUAGAUUAAAGUCGCCAUGAAACAGAAGUGGCGAUUGCCUUAUUUUCCCUGUGGUGACGUACACUACUGUGCAAAAGUCUUAGGCCACCAUGCCAGAAUUAGAUUUGUUGUUUUUGCAAUGUUAUGGUGAUCAUAUAUAAUUGUUUCCCAGUCGCUUUAAUAGAAUACAUCCAGAAAAUACAGAAAAUGUGUAUAUAUUAAAAACUGUAUAAAAAUGUAAACAAUCAUGUCAAGUUUUUAGGGUAAACCUACCUUCCACUUGAGCAAUAACAGGAAACUGCAGGAUCUCUUAAAUCUAAAUAAAAUUAAAUCCUAAUCUCCAAUUUUAAAGAAAUUUGUCUUUUUACUUAAUUCUGCUCAAAAAUGCUCAAGAUGUGUUUAGAGGUCACACUGAACACUGACGAUGCCUGAAGACGACAUUUAGUCCUGACAAUUAAAAAAAAAUUGGACAUAUUUACUGUAUUUUCUGUUUGCAUCUUAAUAAAAUAGAUUGGAAAAUUAUUAUGAAUGGACAUUAAAACUUCUAAAACAACAAGUCUGAUGGUGGUGGCCUAAGACUUUUGCACAGUACUGUAUAUCCGAGUGAAAUGGCUUCUGAAAUUAAAUAAGGCAGGGCUGGAUUUGAAUUUGUCCAUCAGGAUCUGACUGGAUCGUCUGAAUUUGGGUCGUGUUGCUAAAUGCUGCGAUCUUCUCCCAGACCC